UAUUGCACAAUGGGGGAAGCCCUGAUGCAGCAACGCCGCGUGAGUGAAGAAGUAUUUCGGUAUGUAAAGCUCUAUCAGCAGGGAAGAAAAUGACAGUACCUGACUAAGAAGCCCCGGCUAACUACGUGCCAGCAGCCGCGGUAAUACGUAGGGGGCAAGCGUUAUCCGGAUUUACUGGGUGUAAAGGGAGCGUAGACGGCUGUGCAAGUCAGAAGUGAAAGCCCGGGGCUCAACCGCGGGACUGCUUUUGAAACUGUGUAGCUAGAGUGCAGGAGAGGUAAGUGGAAUUCCUAGUGUAGCGGUGAAAUGCGUAGAUAUUAGGAGGAACACCGGUGGCGAAGGCGGCUUACUGGACUGUAACUGACGUUGAGGCUCGAAAGCGUGGGGAGCAAACAGG
rnacentral:rRNA from 1 species